GCUGGGCAUGGUGGUGCAGACCUGUAAUCCCAGUGGCUAGGGAGGCUGAGGCAGGAGGAUCACAAGUUCAAAGCCAGCCUCAGCAAUAGCGAGGCGCUAAUCAACUUAGUGAGACCCUGUCUCUA
rnacentral:sRNA from 1 species